GGGGGUGAUACGGCUUCGACGGGGGUCGCGAAAUCGCCUGGUGCAUGCCGAGGGGGCAGCUUUCCUCGUUAAUCCAGCCGCAACCAUUCAGACGCCAACGACGACGUCUACGCUCUGGCCGCUUAAGGCCUAAGCCCCGAACCCACUUGUGUCCGUGCUCGUGGAUGUAGGGUCAUCAUCACGGGAUCGCCCGCGCCGCUGCCCGUCAGCGCGGGUCAAAUCAAAACGGGCUGGUCCUGCGGUGUGCUUCGCCCACCGUGUUGCCGCAGGGCGAGACCAAACGGUGAGCUAAGCAUGUAGGGCCGGGGAUGGAGUGCCUUCGGACGCGGGUUCGACUCCCGCCACCUCCACCA
rnacentral:tmRNA from 1 species